CUGCGGCGGUGAUGACAAAUUUGUGGACUAGAGUUUCUGAUCCCGCCUCUUCAGCGGCAUCUGCAGACAACCCCUUGGCUGUCUGAGCACCCAG
rnacentral:snoRNA from 1 species